UCUUCACGUCAGGUCUGAAGGGGUAGUGCAUUUGUAAAGACGAAAGGAGAGAGGCUGCUUCUCAAGUCUCUUUAAGCUAUCAGGAGGUGGAGCACUAUGAGAUUCGAGAAGUUUUGCGAUGUUGCUAAGGACCCAUCUGGCAAAGAUAUCAAUGCUCUUAAGCAGCACAUAAAGAACCUCCUCAUCCAGCCCCGUCCACGCCUCACUUCAACAUUUUGUAUGAUCCCCGCAGAGGAGCCAUCUUUUCCUGUGGACCAAUUGAAGGCUUCAUUUUGUUUCAUUUUGUCUAUAACGAAAAUAUAUAUUUGGAGUACUGUUACUAUUUGGUUGUUGGGAUUAAACUCAUAGUUUUUUUGG